GCGGGAAUAGCUCAGUGGUAGAGCGCCACCUUGCCAAGGUGGAUGUCGCGGGUUCAAUCCCCGUUCCCGUU
rnacentral:tRNA from 1 species